GCUGUGCGUCCCGUACACGUAUGUGCAAGGACACACACCUGCACAGACACAUGCCACAUGCAUACAUGUGUUCAAGCACAAGUCAUCUUUCCCUGCGUCAUUCUAAGAGGCAGGGAGUGCUGUGAUCCCUGGAAAGUGAGGCACAGAGUCGGGGAGCCCCAAGUUUAGGACCUGCCUCGACGCUGAACUUAUCUUGUGACCCCAGCAAGUCCCCUGACACCUCCAGGCCUCAGAAUCUUCAUCUAUAAAAUGGGGACCCACUGCCUAGGUUGUGGGGACCCAGUGAGCUCCUAUUGGUAAAGAACACUGAACCCGAACCUUAAAGCGCCACAUAGCGCUGCUUUGGGGGCGUUUCAGUGGUGUCCCGCUCUCCGAGCACUGGAGUGCUUUGCCAUGUCCUUCUCUGUCUCAGCGGACAGAUGGGGAAACCGAGGCAGGCAGGGUGAGAUGGCUCGCCCAGGUCACACAUCUAGGAAGUACCUGAGGACAGACUUGAACUCGGGUCUGUGGCCGGGUUAUCAUUUAUUCUCAGGAGUGCAUCCCCUCCGUCUCCCCUGCCCCCAUACGCCGGUCUUGCUUCUGGUCAGUCCUCUAGGAAACCUGCUGUGGAGAUGGGAGGGGAGAAGCGAGGAGGCCCGCCCUCCCUCCCCAGCAGCCUCCCUUCUGUUCUCUCCCUCCUGCCCUGCCCCUUCCACGCAUGCACCUCCUCGAGGCGGCCGAGGCUUCUCGGGGCCAGGCAGAGAUGGGGAGGGCCCCAGGGGGAUGGAGGCGGGGAGGGGGCCGGGCUCCCCCCAGCCUGGACGUCCCAUCUCUGCCCACCCAAACGACCCAUCUCGUUUCUUCCAGCCCUUCAUGUCCCCUCGGUACCCAGGAGGCCCCCGGCCGUCCCUCCGAAUGCCAAACCAGGUGAGCCCCCUCGCCUUCCUCGGCUCAGCCACGAGCCUCUCCCUCCUGCCCGGGCCGGGCCAGGCUGGGCAGGGCCCGAGGGGCAGGCAGGGUUGGGCGGGGGCUCUCGUCCGCUGGGGGCUCAUCUUAGCGCUCCCUCCCUCCCUCGCAGCCACCUGUGGGCGUCCCGGGCUCCCAGCCGCUGCUGCCCAACGCCAUGGAUCCAUCCACGCGGGCUCAGGGCCAUCCGAGCAUGGGGGGCCCAAUGCAGAGGAUGAAUCCGCCCAGGGGAAUGGCGGGCAUGGGGCCUCAGAAUUACGGCAGCGGGAUGCGGCCUCCCCCCAAUGCCCUCGCCGGGCCCGGCAUGCCAGGGAUGAACAUGGGUCCAGGAGGACGAGGGCCGUGGCCUAA
rnacentral:lncRNA from 1 species